UUGACUGGCUUUGGAAUACAAAUUAGUGUCAAAUGGACAGGAGGUCAAGGAGACACUGAAAAACUCUCAAAUGGGUUAUCUGUCACUUCCUGUAGAUCUUUAUAAUUAGUGUUUUUCAGUCACCUUUUCUCUUGAUGGAUCAAUUUAUUGAAUCAGCGUCAGAUCAAAUUUGUAAUGUCAGCUGCCAGUGCCAAAGUAACUCACAAAGGGGCCAAUGGGCAUAAAGGAGCUGUAGUCCCAGAUUCCACCACCCAUGUUCCAUGUGCACACAGCUUUUUUAUUAAUUAAUAUAAUACUGACAGAUGCAGUAAAUGAAUUAAAAGUAGUCUUUGACAUAGGGACUUUAUCUUUUAUCAAAUCUGCCAAAAAGCACAGCUAUUUGUCAUAUGAACUGUUAAAUGAUGUCACAUUGUGACUGUUGACAUCUGCUUCCCCGUUUAAAGAAACACUUGAUCAUUCAGAGCAUCAUAGGGGACAACAAUUUUCCAAGUAGCUAGUUACAUAGCUGCAUUUGUAAAAAAUAGCAACAAAAAGAUGGUAACAUGUACAGAAGAGAUUGAUACAAGUGUGCAGGUUGUUGUAGAGACAAACAACAUAUAAAUCUGCAUCCAUAUGUCUUUGAUUAAUGUGAAAAAAUAAGCUGACUCCUCCUGGCAACCACUGCUGCUUAGAUGAAUAUGACACUAGCUACUGAUUUGUUAGUGAAGAAGAAAAUAACCCCACCCCAACAAGCUUAUGUAAACAAAGGCAGAAUUAUUAAACUGAAACAAGCAGCAAUUGAGUCUCUGUUGCACCUUGGAUAGCUAGGAGUGCAAAACAUCCGGGGCUUUACCUCUGCAGAUAGAGUAUUUUUUUAAUGGGGGUCUCCCCUGGGAAAUUUUGAAAAUUGGACUGUUAAAGAUGCAAUUUCAGUUUAGUUUGAGAAGGACAGGAAGGCCAAUCGUUGGGAUCCACAUCGUCAUAUUUUAAUCACAAAUAAAGCAAAUUUUCUCUCACUAUAGGCCUACUGAGUAAUGUUUACAUCAAAGAUAUUAUAGCCUGUAAUAAGACAUGUGCUGUGUGCAUAGGCUAUUAGAGCAGAUAGAACAUUCCCUGUUAUAAUUUCUUCACUUCAUUGUCUGUCUGCAUUAGGCCUACAGGAGGCUUUGUACACCCAUGAACACAAUUCCAAUUUGAUUUACCACAGCAGACAAAAUUAGAAAUUAAAAUUAGAAUAAUUAAUACAUGGGCCUACCCGGUGUCAAGGUGAUCAUAUGAAGGUUGAAUUCAUGGCGGGACUGCUGAGUCUGGCUGCUUUUUUUCACAAACCUGAGCUGAUGGAAGUAUUAUAUCAGGGGUUGGCAGAGAUGAUGUCUCACUCUCCACAUCCAUAUAUCCAUAAUAAGUAACUACUAUAAAUGCUGCAAUGGUACUAAACAGUAGGCUAAUAGACGGGCUCUGGCAAUAUCAGUGAUGGAUAGAGGGGGAAAGAAGAACACAUAAUUAUUCUGACACUGGCAUAUGCCAUAAGGAAGGCCAGGUUAGCUUCUGCUCAAUUUGCGCUGGUGACAAUGUUGGAUUUGUGGCUGCUUGCCGCUGGAUAUGCAACCACAUGAAAACCUCUGGGGCUAUUUUCAUCAUGAGGAAAAUUAUACUUGAUUGAUUGAUUGAUUGAUUGAUUGAUUGAUUGAUUGAUUGAUUGAUUGAUUGAUUGAUUGAUUGAUUGAUUGAUUGAUUUUUAAAGGCACAGAUCUGAUAUCCGGGGCUAUUCCUAAAACAUCCAGGGCUAUAGCCUCGAAUCCCCAGGUUUAAUGACGUGGACACACCAAGAGUACACUGCUUCAGUCCAAGGGAAGAAGUCAGAUAGGAAGUCGAUAAAACAGGAUUGUCAGGUAGCGCUGAAAACACUACGGGUGGUACUUCAGCACCACAAGCCGAAUCCAAUCUAGUUUAAUUAUGAUGGAAAAAGAGCAGACAUCACUAUGUCCAAUAUCUCCAAAACUCAAAUCAUAACAAUCUAGAUAGAUAGAUAGCACUACAGGUAAGAGGGAAAAAAGGUCAUAUUAAUUGUGGGGUGCACUGUCCUUGAAGUUAUUGCAGGUUUCUUAGGUGCUUCAUUGCCAAAAUCGAUGUAAAGUAAUUGCUAAAGAUACUAACCUGAUCGUGGUUGUUAUUUACUAAAUAAUACGUUUUUAGGGGAUCUAAGAUUGCACAGGCCACUUAAAGGUAGUAAGUAUUUUCACUAUUAAUUGUAGUUUUUGCGCAAAUUAAUCAAAGUAAUUUGGCCUCAGAGUGGUUGCUCAGUCCCACUCAGCCCAGCUUUGUGAAGCACCUGCAGGCAUCUGAAUGAACAUCAGUGAAGAAAUGCCCAAAGGAAGUUGUUGUUGAAAGUCUUCCCUGUGGUGUUGGCAUCAAAGUAAGAGCUGAGUUGGAGGAACUCCUCCUCCAUCAGAUUCAUGCUGAAAUUGUGCAACACCUGCAGGGCAACAACAGCAAAUCGAAGUGGGUAUUGUAUGUGUGCACAUAUGUGUGUGCCCUUGCGUAUUAGGUGGGGGUUGAGGAGAUGUCAUCCACAACAGGCUGCUAAUUGUUUCGAUUAGCUGAGGGGCGCUGUCUUCAGUAAAUUGUACAGCAGGUAAAUGACAGGGACAAUAGAAUGUGAGUGUCAGCUGCUGUUCUCCUGAGCCGAAAUGUCAGUGUGGUCUCGUUUCAACCUUCAUCUUAAUUGAACAAUUAAAAUUACUGAUUGGCUGUCAAGUGAACAGGUGUGUGUGUGUGUGUGUGUGUGUGUGUGUGUGCGUGCGUGCGUGAUCUCCAGUACGCAUGGAUUUCCAGUCACUCUACAUCAUUCUCCUCAGAUAUCUUGGUAGCAGAGGCACAACUGAAGCUUGCAGGGUGGCGUGCUGCAGCUGACCUCACCUCCCUGAAGUCCUGCACGGAGGAAAUUCCUGCUCGUGUGAUCGGCGUCCAGGAGGAGAUACGAACCACACCAUAGGUCCUCAGCACGACCUCCACACAGUCUCUGUCCAGGACACCCUGGCUCAUCUGAACAGAACCAGAGCAUACAGGAUCCUGUCAGGCCACCGAGUACAAGAACCAAACAGAUGGACAUAAACAACAAGAAAGAAAACAACAGAUAGAGGAAAAAGCUAUUGCUGAUGUGUCCCACUGGCUGAGGAUGCUCCUAGGAACAUAUCCUCUGGAUCUACUUCCAGCAGUGCUGCAGUGCUCCAUGCAGGCUCCUCUCCAUGCUGCCCAGCAGACUGCUUGUCUGUGGCCUCCCUGCUGUGGCAGGAUAUGUGGGAGGCCGGAAUGUCACAUUGAUAUUCCACCUCGCUGUCUGUGAGAAAGCUACAGAGGUGGAAUGGAGGGAAAGAUUUGUUCCAUCACUGAUCUACCAGCAGAGAUGGUACCAGAGGCAAGACGACAUCUGUGCAUACUUGGCAGCAUCCUUUCACUCAUCAAAUAAAAGAGAAAUAUCCCACAAGGCAAAGUUACAGGAUCAAACUACUGUAAUGUGGUAGCAGGUAGUGUUAUAAGAAGACACUGAAUUUGUAUGUCGAAAAGUUGCAGUCAUCCUGUCUGUCCUACCAACUCUUUGAGUAAAAAACUUUACCUCACCAUGUCUUUCUUGUCUUCCACUACUACUACUAUGUCUGACAAAAAAAAAAGACUGAAAAAUGCAAAUGCGAGUCAAGACUCUACCAAAGCAAAAGGCAUAUUCAACAGAGUGAACAAGUGUUCUGAGGUCUUGAUGUGUCCAUAUUUCAAAUUGCUUUAGGAAAUCACAGGCAUACAGAAUGUGACAAAAGUUAUGACCGCAUUGUACAGCUUAACAUAAUUCAUGACUGAGCUUGAACCAUUUUCUUAUUCCUCAAGAGCAAUGAUAAUUAAAAUGUUCACCUCCCAACUCUGGGCAAUGAGAAUUUGUCACUGAGACUGUUUCAGGGGAAGGAGAUGGGUCGCUGUUGGUUGGCCCAUUUGGUUCUAUAUGUGGGGAAUCCUGCCCAGAGCACUGAAACACUUCAGAAACUCUCUGUACUGCAGUUUCUUCUGCUCAUCGACAGGCAUCUGACUCCACACACACUCAAACUGGGAAUAAAGAGGAAACACACACAUAAUAAUCAUCCACACGGGGGAUCUAAUACCCUGAUGAGAGUUUCACACAUGUAUGUAAA